GAGUUUGAUCUUGGCUCAGAUUGAACGCUGGCGGCAUGCUUUACACAUGCAAGUCGAACGGUAACGCGGGGGCAACCCUGGCGACGAGUGGCGAACGGGUGAGUAAUACAUCGGAACGUGUCCUGGAGUGGGGGAUAGCUCGGCGAAAGCCGGAUUAAUACCGCAUACGCUCUGAGGAGGAAAGCGGGGGACCUUCGGGCCUCGCGCUGCGGGAGCGGCCGAUGUCGGAUUAGCUAGUUGGUGGGGUAAAGGCCUACCAAGGCGACGAUCCGUAGCUGGUCUGAGAGGAUGAUCAGCCACACUGGGACUGAGACACGGCCCAGACUCCUACGGGAGGCAGCAGUGGGGAA
rnacentral:rRNA from 1 species